UAUUGUGUCGCUCAGUUGGUAUGAGUGUGGUGCUUGCAAAGCCAGGUUUGUGGGUUCAAUUCCCACUGGGGGAA